rnacentral:rRNA from 1 species
GAUGAACGCUGGCGGCGUGCUUAACACAUGCAAGUCGAACGAAGCACCUCUCCCGAAGAUUGACACAGCUUGCUGUAGAUUGAUUCAUUUGAGGUGACUGAGUGGCGGACGGGUGAGUAACGCGUGGGUAACCUGCCUCAUAGAGGGGGACAACAGUUGGAAACGACUGCUAAUACCGCAUAGUAAGAAGAAUUCGCAUGUUUUCUUCUUGAAAGAUUUAUCGCUAUGAGAUGGACCCGCGUCUGAUUAGCUAGUUGGUAAGGUAACGGCUUACCAAGGCGACGAUCAGUAGCCGGCUUGAGAGAGUGAACGGCCACAUUGAGACUGAGACACGGCCCAAACUCCUACGGGAAGCAGCAGUGGGGAAUAUUGCACAAUGGGGGAAACCCUGAUGCAGCGACGCCGCGUGAGUGAAGAAGUAUUUCGGUAUGUAAAGCUCUAUCAGCAGGGAAGAUAAUGACGGUACCUGACUAAGAAGCCCCGGCUAACUACGUG